GAUUGUGAUAAAAAGAAGCGCAUGCAAUGCAUAAAAUAUAUAAUGUCGUGGCUCAGGGAUGUGUUGAAUUAUAGAGAUGCUUAUGCGGCACAAAGAUAAGAUUAAUUUACCCAAAUGUACUAAGAAUUACCACACAACUUAAAUUUACUUAAAUAUUGAUUUGUUAUCCUGUGAAUAUUGAUUUGUUAUCCUGUGCCAGACAGAUGGCUGAUAUUCUGAGAAGAGACCUUGAUGAAAUGAAGUUUUAUGGGAACAAAGAUUUUGAAAACACGUCGCAGUGUUUAGAUUUUAACAAAAAUAAGGCACCAAGGUCGAAAAUAGUUCUAGUUCAUAAUGAAGAAAAUGUCAACCGUUUUCUAGCUUGGCGAUCUCCGCACGCACCCGAAUAUAAAAGACAAAUACAAUACAACAGUACACAAAACGUAACAUAAAGAACUAAAGACCGAGCAACACGAACUCCAACAA
rnacentral:lncRNA from 1 species